rnacentral:tRNA from 1 species
GCAUUAAUGGGGUAGUGGUAACCUGGGUCGUUGCCAUCGAGCUUGUCUCGACCCGCCGGGGGUUCGAUUCCCCCUUAAUGCA